rnacentral:rRNA from 1 species
GUAGGGAAUAUUGGGCAAUGGUCGGAAGACUGACCCAGCCAUGCCGCGUGCAGGAAGACGGCCCUCUGGGUUGUAAACUGCUUUUAUCUGGGAAGAAAAAGGCCAUGCGUGGCAAAUUGCCGGUACCAGAUGAAUAAGCACCGGCUAACUCCGUGCCAGCAGCCGCGGUAAUACGGAGGGUGCGAGCGUUGGCCGGAUUUAUUGGGUUUAAAGGGUGCGUAGGCGGCUGAUUAAGUCAGCGGUGAAAGACUUCGGCUUAACCGGAGCAGUGCCGUUGAUACUGGUUGGCUUGAGUGUCGGAGGGGUACAUGGAAUUGAUGGUGUAGCGGUGAAAUGCAUAGAUACCAUCAGGAACACCGAUAGCGAAGGCAUUGUACUGGCCGACAACUGACGCUGAUGCACGAAAGUGUGGGGAUCGAACAGGAUUAGAAACCCCAGUAGUCC